ACCUGGCAAGAGCCCAGCCAAGAUGAACCAACUUGCCUACACAACCACCCCCGCCUCGGCAUGUGAUGUUCCCCUCCCUGUGUGCAUGUGUUCUCACUGGAGGGAACAUAUAUUUUUUCGAGUCACCAUUCAAUAAUUCAUUACACGGACUAUGAAAAAUCAAGUGACCAUGUGAUCUGGGCUCCCCGUAGCAAACUGGAUGUCAUCUGACCCACUACUCAUAAAGGCACUACUUCUUCCUGCUGCCAUGUGAAGAAAGACCUGUUUGCUUCCCCUUUCAUCAUGAUUGUAAGUUUCCUGAGGCCUCCCCACCCGUGCAGAACUGUGAGUCAAUUAAACCCCUUUCCUUCAUAAAUUACACAGUCUCAGGCAGUACUUUAUAGCAGCGUGAGAAUGGAUUAAUACACUAUCCCAGGGGUAUCUCAGUGUUGAACUUCAUGCAGUUAGAUCUUGUAUCUCCACUGAGCUGCUUGAGGGCCUGACCUACAUCUCUGGCUUCUCCAGAUUAGCCUGCUGAAUGUUGUAAAGAAUUAGAAACAUGGAAAGCACUUAAAUACCCUUCACGUUGGUGGCAAAUUGGGGUUUAGGUUUUAAAAGUGACGAAUGCUACCAUGAUUCACAGUAAAAAUAAGACGAUAGAAGGAAGCAAGCUGCCUGAGCUGUCUCUUUCUUAUGGGAAAAAUGCUCCCUGCACUCUUCUGAGUCUCUUUAAAGGAAAAACCCAUUGUUAAUGCUUCCUGUAUGCCUGCAGUUGGUGCACAUCUUGACCCUCUGCAGCCCUGUUUGAUGGAUGCAAUGUACUGAGCUUGGUGCAUCAUGCCCCAGAACUGGGAAAGGGAAAAAUUGAAAAAUGAGCAGUUGGCCACCUCCUGAUGUCUGUAGGUGUCUGGAAAUGCAGGCAUCUAGAACUGCUGGCAGGACUCUCUGAAGGCUUGACUGAUUCCUACAAGUAAGCAGCUGGAGAUGUAAUUAUUACAUUGUCAUUUUAUUAUUUCAUUGUGGUAAGAGCACUUAACAUGAGAUCUAGCCUCUUAACACAUGAUAUGUCAUUGUUGACUAUAGGUACAAUGUUGUGUAGAAGAUCCCUAGAGCUUAUUCAUCUUACUUGACUGAAUCUUUACGCCCUUUGGUUAGUAUCUCCCCAUUUGUUCCUCCUUCCAGCCCUGGAAAACUACCAUUCCACUCUUUGAUUCUAUGAAUUUGACUAUCUUUGAUACCUCAUAGAAGUAGAAUAAAGAAGUAUUUGUUUUUCUGCAGCUGGCUUGUUUCACUUAGCAUAAUGACCUUGGGGUUACAUCGAUGUUGUUAUAUAUGUUAGGAUUUUCUUCCUUUUUAAGGCUGAAUAGUGUUCCAUCAUAUGUAUAUACCACACUUUUUAUCCACUUAUCUGUUGAUAGAUAUUUAGGUUGUUCUUACAAUACAAUAGUAAGAAAAAAAACAGCUAAUAACCCAAUUAAAAGUGGUCUAAAGACUUGAAUAGGCAUUUCUCCAAAUAAGACAUACAAAUAAUCAACAGGUUUAUGAAAAAAUGCUCAAUGUCACUAAUCCUUAGAGAAAUGCAAAUAAAACCACAAUAAGAUAUCACCUCCCAUCUGUUAGAAUGGAUAUUAUGUAUUACACAAAAACAAAAGAUAAUAAGUGUUGGCAAGUAUUGGAUAUAUAGAAAUUGAAACUUUUGCACACUGUUGGUGGACAUGCAAAAAGACACAGUUGCUAUGUAAAAAAAUAUAUAGAAGUUUCUAAAAAAAAUUUAAAAAUAGAAUUACAUGAUCCAGCAAUCCCAUUUCUGGGUAUUUAUCCAAAAAAAAAA
ensembl:lncRNA LINC02694 long intergenic non-protein coding RNA 2694